GAGUUCCUCGGGUACCUAUUUAUCCGUUAAACUCAUCGGACAUCUAUUGUUUCUUUAACUCGUUUGCAUCUACAUGUACCGCAGUUAUGAGUUUGUGCCAAUCUAGUAAAUCAUGGAUCCUCGUUGAAGAAGUCCAUGGAGUGAGCUAUUCAGAGCCGAGAGCACGCCUUUGGCCUGGAUUCUUCGCUGUAUUUGUACUGUACCAUACAUAUUAUGAUUUUUCUUUGCGCGUGAUCUUGCCCUUUUCGGGCAAGAAACUGUACUGUUUAUGAAUAAUGCCGCUUUUCCUGCUGCUUGUAAUUUAUGUUAAUUCAGCGUCAUAUAGACAUCGCUACUGGUGACCGAAAUAUUUUGCAAUCCUUCAUUUCCUCGGAUCUUUAUCGUGCUAGUGCGUCCGAGGAACUACAACAUUUGGAGUUGGUUCCGUUACAGGAUUUCUGUUGCAUAAAAUCCAUGCAGUUUCAGUUACACUUGUAGAACCCCAUACCGAACUUGAGAUUUUGGGCCGCGAAUUGCCCGAAAUCUUCUUGCUUCUUGGAAGUGGGCGGCGGUGGCCGCUUAUGCAGCCAAAACAGGGGAGAAGGGGCAUCCAUGUGAGCAGCAAAACAGAGCACACACACGCAUGUGAUUUUAUCUGUUUUAGAAACUCCUAAUUGUGCUGCGUGGCAGAAAAGCAACUCCAAGUAAUACUCCCUACUUGACAGUUAUAGUGCUUAUAAUAUCUGUAAGAAGUCAAAAUUCAUAAAUUUGGAUUAAGUUAAUAGAAAAUCCAUCCGAUAUUUUUGUGCAAGAAUACAUACAGAUACUUACUUUUCAUAUUCUUGAGCCCCCGGAAAGAAACAUUUUUGAAGGAACGAACUAUACCAACUAACUAAAAAAAAA
rnacentral:lncRNA from 1 species